CCGACCUUAGCUCAGUUGGUAGAGCGGAGGACUGUAGAUCCUUAGGUCGCUGAUUCGAAUCCGGCAGGUCGGA